rnacentral:tRNA from 1 species
GGGCGCUUGGUUUAGUGGUAUAAUGCUUCAUUCGCAAUUGACUCUUUCGAUCAGUAUCUCAAGAGUUAGAGACUUGAAGAGGUCCCGGGUUCGAUUCCCGGAGUGUCCA